CCUACGGGGGGCAGCAGUGGGGAAUAUUGCACAAUGGGGGGAACCCUGAUGCAGCGACGCCGCGUGAGUGAAGAAGUAUUUCGGUAUGUAAAGCUCUAUCAGCAGGGAAGAAGAUGACGGUACCUGACUAAGAAGCCCCGGCUCACUACGUGCCAGCAGCCGCGGUAAUACGUAGGGGGCAAGCGUUAUCCGGAUUGAAUGGGGGUAAAGGGAGCGGGGACGGGAGGGCAAGUCUGGAGUGAAAGCCCGGGGCACAACCCCGGGACUGCUUUGGAAACUGCCAGGCUAGAGUGCUGGAGAGGUAAGCGGAAUUCCUAGUGUAGCGGUGACAUGCGUAGAUAUUAGGAGGAACACCAGUGGCGAAGGCGGCUUACUGGACAGUAACUGACGUUGAGGCUCGACAGCGUGGGGAGCAAACAGGAUUAGAUACCCCGGUAGUC
rnacentral:rRNA from 1 species